UUCUCCUCGGAUCCCGGCGACUCCUCGCCCCCACCUCCUUCCUUGCUCCCGGCGCCCAAUCUCCUAGGAUCCCGGCGACGCCUCGCCCCCACCUCCUUCCUCGCUCCAGGCACCGCCCGACCCCCAACCUCCCUGGAUCUGGCGUCACUCCACCACCACCUCCUACAUCCCAUAGCAGCGGUCGCCCCUGCCGCCUGUGUGCGCCUCCGUCAUCCUCCCGGCGCCGGUUGUGCGCAUCGCCCCACGCCGCCUGCCACGCGAGCGCCCACCCCAAACCGCUGGCUCGCCGGCUUGCCAGGCAACCGCUGGCUUGUUCUUCCUCUGGCCACCGCUAGCUCGCCGGCCGUUCACCUUCGCCACCUACUGAAGGUCGGCUUUUUGAAAUAGCCAUCAUGUAUACAACAACUACGGCAGUGGCCUUGGAUGCGCCCAACGAAGGACAACGAUAGGCAAAAAAAUGCUAGUGCAGCUGCUUGCCUCCUCUUCAUAUUCCAUACCAGAAAACAUCCUUCGCCCCUUUAUUUUCUUUAGUCGUGGAUUGCGCCCUGCACGUCGUUUCGCAAUGAGCCAGGAUAGAGGUUGUUGGACACUGUCGUGCACGCCGUGAGCAGCUGUGGCCGUUGGACACCCGUUCGGAGUUUUGGCCAAGAACCAUCGUCGGCCAGUAGGGUGUCACCUGAUUUUCGUGCAACAACGACAACUUGGUAAGCCUUGCAUAGACAGGCUUCGCAAUGAUGAAUGCAUGAAGAUCUUUGUAGGUCCUGGCGACUGUGAUAAAGGCAAGUGCUUAAGUGGUUUUUGCUGAAGAAGAAUGGCCUAGCUUACCUGGCGUAGCAGUACUCAAAGUCAAGUAUCGAUGAUGUGGAAGCAUUGAAACUUUUCCUAGUUGCUUGACUUCAAUAACUAUGCCUUUUGAGAUCGUACCAUUUGGUCAUCUUAUGGCUUUGUAUCGAACUUCUAGUCAUCAUGUUACAACCGUUCGAUGAAGAAAAUACAUUAGUCCAAAAGCAUGCAGGUGCUAAUGCUGCAGCGAUCUCGUUCGCAGCCGCAAGGAUCUUGUUCUGUUUAAUGUUGUUUGAUGUUCAUAGAUACACGUAAAAGUUCACCGUUACAGCCUCAAAAGAAUCCGGAGAAGGAAAAAAGUUAAACAAAAAAGAAACCUGUGAUGUUGAGCUUUAUUUUUGCCUUGAAGUUCAUGGGAAAGAGCUUUGUUGUUGUAGAAGCUACAGGAAAAGAUUUGUUGUUGUAGAAGUGUUUUUGCAAAAAAUGUUUAUGAUCGUGGAGCUAUGCAUAUGUAUGUAAAUGUCUGCAAAUACGUGUGUGAACAUAAAGGAAAAUC
rnacentral:rRNA from 1 species